GUCGGAAAAAUCUUAUCUGCCUUACCUAGAAAAUGCGGCGGAAGCCGAAUAGGCAUUCCUUGCGAGGCACUUACCCUCCAGAAUUUACCCUCUUCGUUUCGCUGCAGACGGCUCCAAAGAUGACAGUUUGGUUGGCUCUUGUCGUCCGGCCGCGAUGGUACUUCCUCUUUCGUGUAAACGUUUCGUCGACCUAGUCGAGGGGAAAACGGAAGUGCUCGUUAAUGACCCCCAAUUCAAGAGGGGUAGGAAUAAGCUGGAGUAUAUCCUCGCUGCCAGCCCGUUAUGAUCGAAAUCAUACUUAUCUCUAUAUGCAGUUCCGUCCCGCCGAUUUUUACAGACGAAUUCGACACAAUUUUUUCUGCGACCUCCCGGCAAAAGCUGUAAGAGUUUACUGCUGUUUGCCUGCUUACCCUGAUAAACUGCUGUGCACUUAUGACGGGUAGCUUGGCAACCCAGCAGUAGACUAUUUGUAGCAUCUGAAAAAUUAUAAAAAGUGCCGUCAGCAACGUCAAACAGGGCAGUCCCGGCGAUGGCGUGCAC
rnacentral:lncRNA from 1 species